UACGUAGGGGCUAGCGUUAUCCGGAAUUACUGGGCGUAAAGGGUGCGUAGGUGGUUUCUUAAGUCAGAGGUGAAAGGCUACGGCUCAACCGUAGUAAGCCUUUGAAACUGGGAAACUUGAGUGCAGGAGAGGAGAGUGGAAUUCCGAGUGUAGCGGUGAAAUGCGUAGAUAUUCGGAGGAACACCAGUGGCGAAGGCGGCUUCCUGGUCUGUAACUGACACUGAGGCGCGAAAGCGUGGGGAGCAAACAGGAUUAGAUACCCCGGUAGUCCCUGAGCGGGCU
rnacentral:rRNA from 1 species